rnacentral:rRNA from 1 species
CAAACAUUAUUCGGAAUUACUGGGCUUAAAGAGUUCGUAGGCGGCAUGGUAAGUAGGGUGUGAAAUCCCUCGGCUCAACCGAGGAAUUGCGCUCUAAACUACCGUGCUAGAGGAAGCUAGAGGUGAGCGGAACUGAUGGUGGAGCGGUGAAAUGCGUUGAUAUCAUCAGGAACACCGGAGGCGAAGGCGGCUCACUGGGGCUUUUCUGACGCUGAGGAACGAAAGCCAGGGUAGCGAACGGG